GUGUUGUUUUAAUACUUAGUUUGAAGCUAAGUUUACUAAAAUUUAUUUUUAGGCAACAUU
rnacentral:tRNA from 1 species